rnacentral:rRNA from 1 species
GUAAAGGGUCCGUAGGCGGUAAAGUUAGUCUUUGGUUAAAUACCCAGGGCUUAACCUUGGGAAUGCUGGAGAUACUGCUUUACUAGAGGACGUUAGGGGCUGAUGGAACGGUCGGUGUAGAGGUGAAAUUCGUUGAUAUCGACCGGAACACCAAAAGCGAAAGCAUUCAGCUGGGACGGUCCUGACGCUGAAGACGAAAGCGUAGUAGCGAACGGGAUUAGAUACCCCGGUAGUCUACGCUGUAAACGAUGGACACUGGCUAUCUGAAGUGUCGACCUUUCAGGUGGCGAAGCUAACGCGUUAAGUGUCCCGCCUGGGAAGUACGGCGGCAACGCUAAAACUCAAAGGAAUAGACGGGGCUUCACACAAGCGGUGGACCAUGUGGCUCAAUUCGUCAACAAGCGAAGAACCUUACCAGGGUUUGACAGGCUAGUGAAGUCCUGAGGAAACUCGGGACUACCCACAAGGACACUAGCCCAGGUGCUGCACGGUCGUCGUCAGCAUGUGUUUUGAAAUGCACGCUUAAAUGCGGUAACAUGCGCAACCCCUACUCUGUGUUUUAUAUGUCACAGGGAACUGCCCGGGAUGACCGGGAGGAAGGUGGGGAUGACGCCAGAUCAGCGUGGCCCUUUGAUACCCUGGGCUGCACACGUGGUACAAUGGCAGGUACAAUGGGUAGCUAAGGCGUAAGCCGGAGCUAAUCCCAUCAAAACCUGUCUUAGUUCGGAUUGAGGUCUGAAAUUCGACCUCAUGAAGCCGGAAUCGCUAGUAAUCGCAAAUCAGCCACGUUGCGAUGAAUACGUACCUGAAGCUUGUACUCACCGCCCGUCACAUUAGGGAAGCCGGCAGUAGCCGAAAUCCCAGUAAUCUGGGCCUAAGCUAAAGUCGGUAACCAAAAUG